rnacentral:rRNA from 1 species
GAUGAACGCUGGCGGCGUGCCUAAUACAUGCAAGUCGAGCGUGAAUCUAGUAAUUGAUUCUUCGGAAGAUUUUACUAGAGGAAAGCGGCGGACGGGUGAGUAACGCGUAGGCAACCUGCCCUUAGCAGAGGGAUAGCCAUUGGAAACGAUGAUUAAAACCUCAUAAUAUCGUACUAACACAUGUUAGAACGAUCAAAGAUUUAUCGGCUAAGGAUGGGCCUGCGUCUGAUUAAUUAGUUGGUGAGGUAACGGCUCACCAAGAUGACGAUCAGUAGCCGACCUGAGAGGGUGAUCGGCCACAUUGGAACUGAGACACGGUCCAGACUUCUACGGAAGGCAGCAGUAAGGAAUUUUGCACAAUGGGGGAAACCCUGAUGCAGCAACGCCGCGUGAGUGAUGAAGGCCUUCGGGUUGUAAAACUCUGUUCUAAGGGAAGAAACAAAUGACGGUACCUUAGGAGCAAGCCCCGGCUAACUACGUG